AUUGAACGCUGGCGGCAGGCCUAACACAUGCAAGUCGAGCGGAUGAGGGGAGCUUGCUCCCUGAUUUAGCGGCGGACGGGUGAGUAAUGCCUAGGAAUCUGCCUGGUAGUGGGGGAUAACGUUCCGAAAGGAACGCUAAUACCGCAUACGUCCUACGGGAGAAAGCAGGGGACCUUCGGACCUUGCGCUAUCAGAUGAGCCUAGGUCGGAUUAGCUAGUUGGUGAGGUAAUGGCUCACCAAGGCGACGAUCCGUAACUGGUCUGAGAGGAUGAUCAGUCACACUGGAACUGAGACACGGUCCAGACUCCUACGGGAGGCAGCAGUGGGGAAUAUUGGACAAUGGGCGAAAGCCUGAUCCAGCCAUGCCGCGUGUGUGAAGAAGGUCUUCGGAUUGUAAAGCACUUUAAGUUGGGAGGAAGGGCUGCUGGUUAAUACCCUGCAGUUUUGACGUUACCAACAGAAUAAGCACCGGCUAACUUCGUG
rnacentral:rRNA from 1 species